rnacentral:snRNA from 1 species
AAUUUUUUAAAACAAGAAUUGUCUAGCAGGUUUCCUGUUUUUACCGGAAAGCCACA